UGUUAGAAAUGGAAAUAUUAAUUCACAGCAAUUCAUAAUGAAUGCUUUUAGAGAGAUAUACAACAGAGGUUUAAAAUCAGUGUUAUGUUAUUCAACAAGAGAUUUUGGUGGGAUGCAUGUCAGCACAAACAUCUUAACUUUCCCUGACUAACCAUGUACUUAUACACAAAAAUCCCUUGGAAAUCUUGCUCCUUCAGCUGACUAAACACAAAGGUAUUAAAACCUCAAUAUCUCACAGAAUAGGAAAGCCAGCAUUAGUAUUAAUAAAAUCAUAAGAGAGAUAAACACAACUACAGACUAUGGAAUUAGGAUUAAACUACACUUUUGGUCAGACAGCAAGUGUCAGAUAGGUAGGUACAAAUGUUUGUCAGCACUGGUAUUAGGCAAUCACUGUUCAGACUCCAUGGCAGAAGAUAAUCUUUGCUUCUGAAACAAAAGCUGUGAAAAAUGGAUAUUCAUUAAGUCAGCCUCCUAUAUUUUACACAAUGAACUAGAAGGGAACUUUUUAAUUUUCUAUGUAGUGCUGUUUGCAGAAUUUCACUCAGUGCAGGUAAAGAUGGCAAGUUAAAUAUCCUAAAUUUGGGAGUAUGACAAAUGUGCAACUCUUUAAAUACUGACUUAUUUCCUGGAUCUGCCAUCAGCAUAGUGUGAUUUUCAUGAAACCAAACAGACAAUUCACUCUAGGAAUAUGACUGGGUAACAGUACCUACUCGUCUGAUUAGGAAGAAUGCACCCAAACCAGUUUGAACAGAAGAGACUCAGAAUCAUAGGGACUGUCUACUGGGAUAAAUAACUAUCGUACAAUAACUAUUCUAUACCAGCACCUUAUGAGGACCGUUGUUGUACAUUGGCACUGGAUUAAGCAGAGGUGGAAA